rnacentral:snRNA from 1 species
AUCUUUUCUUGGCUUUUUAGCUAAAAAAAAAAAAAAAAAAUCUGUUCUUAUCAGUUUAAUAUCUGAUACGUCCCUACCGGGGACCAUAUAUUAAAUUGAUUUUUUGGAGCAGGGAGAUGGAAUAGGGCUUGUCCGUCCACUCCACGCAUCGACCUGGUAUUUCAGUAUUUCUAGGAACGGUGCACCCCUG